UAGAUAGACUGAAUCUUGUGUUUAUGUAAAUACCACAACUUGGUCACUAAUUUAUUUAGCCUAGCCUUCCAACAACUCAAAUCUAUACGGUCUGGGGUAUGCUAUCCACAGGGAUUUUUUUUUCAAAAUCGAAGGUAUUUACAACAUUGAUGUUUAGCAUGUUUAAAAAGACAUUGAAUUAUUUGAAGAUAAAAGACAUGACAUAAGA